AGUGAACGCUGGCGGCAGGCCUAACACAUGCAAGUCGAGCGGCAGCGCGUCCGACCACCCUCGGGUGGUCGGAUGGCGGCGAGCGGCGGACGGGUGAGGAAUGCAUCGGAAUCUGCCUCGUUGUGGGGGAUAACGUAGGAAACUUAACGCUAAUACCGCAUACGACCUACGGGUGAAAGUGGGGGACCUUCGGGCCUCACGCGAUGAGAUGAGCCGAUGCCGGAUUAGCUAGUUGGCGGGGUAAAGGCCCACCAAGGCGACGAUCCGUAGCUGGUCUGAGAGGAUGAUCAGCCACACUGGAACUGAGACACGGUCCAGACUCCUACGGGAGGCAGCAGUGGGGGAAUAUUGGACAAUGGGCGAAAGCCUGAUCCAGCAAUGCCGCGUGAGUGAUGAAGGCCUUAGGGUUGUAAAGCUCUUUUACCCGGGAUGAUAAUGACAGUACCGGGAGAAUAAGCUCCGGCUAAACUCCGUGCCAGCAGCCGCGGUAAAGUG
rnacentral:rRNA from 1 species